rnacentral:lncRNA from 1 species
AAGUAAACCACAAACCGCUUCCUCUCUUGAUACCGAGACACCACCAUCACCAAGUCUCAUUUCCUUCUCUGCACACUCCACCGAAACCACUGCAAUUUCUCUCCACAACCACACCAUACCUCUUCCUCUGCCUUGACCGAGAGCAUCCGAGAGAGAGGGCUGCUUGGUGAGCUGCAUCCGAGAGCUAGGAGGAGGGAACGUGAGCUGCCAGAAAUUUUCUGGUCCUGCCGUGAGUUGGAGUAAAGCCAGGGAGGAGAUUUGCAGGAAGCUUCACCAUUUUGUACCUUCAUCCCCACCAACUCCAACCAACCGACCUCAAAUCCACCAGCCACAACCAAUUCCAGCCGCAACUUAGGAGCCAGGAACCACCGACUGCACUUGGCCGAGAGCUAGGGAAGAAAUUUCUGGAAUAUUUCGUGUGAAGGAUUAGCUGCUAUCUGAGGUAAUUUCUGGUCUAAUUAGGUUGAUUAUUAGUUGAGCAAGCUACAUCUGAACUUGCAUGUUCAGAUUAUGCAGUCGGAUGUUGAAAUCCAACCAUUGGAAAAAAAUUCUGUUUUGUUAAAAUGUUGCUACCGAGACUUUGAGGAGAUAAUGCAACUCCAUUUGUGUUUUUCUGUGGCAUCUGAACACCUAAGUGCCUUUAGCUGAGUGAAGACUUGAAGAUUUAGACCAUGCAUGUUGAAUUGUGCAUUCGGAUGAUGUGUUAAAGCAGAGAAAAUUUCUGGUUUGGUUAAGAAAAUUUCUGCCGAGGAGCUGGCUUGGGAUUGUAAUUUUAUUUCUGACUUCCUGCGAUAAUCUGAGCUCAAUUAGGUGUUUAACCAACUAAUAACAAUAAGGUUAAGUCAUCUAAGAACUUGCAUGUGGGGGCUAGGCAUCCGGAUGAGAUUUUUUAAGAAAAGAAUUUCUGAUAUGUGCUAGUAUAAAAACUACCGAGAGCUUAGCUGGAUUAUUGCAGCCUAAUUUGGUUCGAUUUUGUUGUGUUGUUUAAGCUUAUAACCAUAAUUAGAUAGUUAAUUACCAGUUAAUUAAGCUCUGCAUGCAGCUAAUUAGUAGUUUAAACCAGAGAAAAAAAAAUAAAGAUAAAAUCAAGGGCAAUCUGCCAUGCAUGUUCAUCCGAACCAAGCAGGAGAAUUUUAGAAAAUUUCGAUGUUAAAGGUUGCGUUGGAAUCUUAACUUGAUUUUUAAAUUGUUCCUUGAAACUUGAUGGAUGGAAAUGCCUGGAAAAUGUUGUUUUGGAUUCUAUAAGAAGUGUAUGGAUGGUUUGAAUAAAAACAUUUUGGUGUUAAAGGAGAAAAAGGAGUUUUCACAAGUGAAAAAUUGAAAUUUCAGAUUUUCGGAUGUCCCUGACCAGUCCCAAUAAACUGUUUAUAUCUUGGUGUAGGAAAAUCCGUUUAAGGCGCCGUUAGUGGCAUUUGAAACUAGAAUCAUAGGCCUUUGUCCUGUAGAAAUUUCGUAUUUUUCCUUCAAAUGUACUGCUGUCUGUGAAUCCUUGAAGUAGACUGUUUUAGUAGGAAUGUCCUGUUCUUCGUGAAACUAAAUUUUGAUUUGGUUUGAUCUUGUAGCUUACUUGUGGGUUAAAUUCUGGAUUAAAUUGUGGUUGGAAGUAAUUGCUGUUGUCAAGGGCUAAUGAUUGAUGAAGCCCUUGGCCAUUUGAAUGACUUUAUAAGUACUACUGGGUGAUAAAAGUUAAUUGCUGGAAUGUCUGGGAGGCCGUACUUUUAUUUUUAUUUGCUUAUGAUGGGUUUGCUGAAACCAAGUGCUAAUGAUUGAUGAAGCCUUGGUCGUUCAUUUUAUUUUUAUCAAUAAUGCAUUUGUUGAAAUCUGGGGCUAAUGAUUGAUGAAGCCCUAGUGAUUUGCUAUGUGAUUUUUGCCAUAUCUGAUCCAUAAUAUGAUUUCAAAACGGAAUCGGAGCUGUGAAAGUCGUUUCUAUCUUGCGAACUCGAGUAACUGUGAUCAUAUUAAUCAAAAAUAUUUUCCAGCUAGUAUUAAAUUAUAAAAACUCAAUAUCUAGUGUUUUGCCUAAAACUUUCCAACCCGAUAAUUUCCUUUAGCUCAAACUAGCCUUAUUACCUUUGGAAAAUGGUUUUUCUAGUUUCUAAAACUCUAGCCUUGCUUUACUCCUUUUCUUCUCCCUAAGAAUUGGCCUUGGCUAGUUAACUAUAGGAAAAAAGUGCCAAAAUACGAGUUUUAAUAAUUUUAGUUAAAAGCAUAGAAACUUGCUCGGCAAGAAACCUUAUUUUUUUAGGUAAAAUAGUUUUAGUAAUAAUUUUUGCAAAAACCAUAGCUUUAAAGAAAUGUUCAAAGUAACUUCCUAACGUGGAUUUUAAGAGGUUUGUCGACUUAUCUCAAGAAAAUAAUACUAGUUACCCUUUUAUAAGGAAAAGUACCUUAAGGAAAAUUAUAAGAAACAUUUCUUCUACUUUUGUCAAGUUUUAACCUAAGGGACUCUUGAUUCUUCUAAGGAAAAGUAGAUUAGUAGUAUAUUAGAUAUACCUCGAUGUGUAUAAGCUAAAAACUGAAUAGAAACUUAUAGUUUCAAAAUUUUGUAUUCUAGGAUAUUACGAGGACGCGGAAUUCGAUUCCCAACUUGAUAUCUGAACUCCACUCUUGGUGAGUGUCCCUGUUUGUUCUAUGCUUACCUGUUUAAAGUGCAUUCUUGUCUCGAUAUGUGAUAAUUUGCAAAAUUGGUUUUUGACCCAUCGAAGUGAGCUGUGUGUACCUUCUCGUACUAGCCAUUCGAGUGGUGACUUGUGCAAAACAUUUUUCUCCUAAAUCCUUGAAUCCAAAUGGAGUUGCGUCGUUGGGUGAACCCCUCGACUUCUGAACCCAACUACCAUGAAUCUAAAUGGAGUUGCGUCGUUGGGUGAAUCUCUCGACUUCUGAAUCCAACUACCAUGAAUCUAAAUGGAGUUGCGUCGUUGGGUGAAUCCCUCGACUUCUGAAUCCAACUACCAUAACGUCGUUGGGUGAAUCCCUCGACCAAUCAUCUACGGGUAUAUCUCGAGUAUACUGCGUCCUUAGUCGGUGAGCGGGCCCGGGACAGGGGUAUGAAUGGUGACGGGUUAGGUAUCAAAAUGAGACACUCUACAUAGAUUAUAAGUAGUGAGAGUUGACGGAGGGUCAACUACGAUAAAUGGUGAUCGAGCGAGGAAAAUGGCUCCUGAGAGCCCAUGUAUCCUACCUUGUGCUGUUAUCCGCUUUCCUGGCUGUUUAAAUUUGCUAAGUUAUUAUCCGCUGUUUGUUACUACGUGAUUGCAUGUUUUGGGGCACCACUGAGCUUUAGCUCACCCCACGUUUAUUGUUUUCCUUAACAGGUUCUGGAAAUUGAAAGCUUGGAUACUCACUUAUGUUUUUCCGUUUGGAAUGUAUUUGAAAACUAUGACUUAUUUUGUGGGCUGUAAUGCGUUGAUUGGGAUAAUGUACUUUCAUUUUGGAUUGCCACUUGAAGCUGGAAAAUGUGUAACCCUAAUUCAAGUGUUUGGAUUGUAAGUUUGUAUUAGUGAUGUAUGUAGUUAUCUAUCCGGAUUGGUACGACUUUAUACCUUGACAUGUAGCACGUGGAACGUUUAAGAGUUUUGAUUAGCUAUUUUAUCACUGGUAUCUCUGAAGUUAAUGUGAUUUAAGGGAUGAUCGUAUUCGGGAAACAAUGGUUUUACCAUAGAUUAGGUUAUUCUUCGACAGGAUUUGGAUUAAAAUGCUUGCGUGAGUCCUGGCGAGAGCUGGGCAGACGGCCCACCAACCCUUUGGUUCGCCUUAAGGGGAAGUGGGGUCGCCACAGUACGACCCUUAUUCAAAUGUGUAUGAUCAAGGAUGGUGGGAUAACUCCAAGUUUAAUUAUGCAACAGAGCUAAUUGGUUUUAAACAUCAUUAUCAACAGCAACAGCCGUCAUCCACGUUAGAUAUAUCUCUUGAAGAAAUGUUUAAGUCACUAGCUAUUAACACUUGUCGAUUUCAAAAGGAGACAGAAAUGAGCAUUAGAAACCUGGCGGAUCAAAUGUGUCUAAUUGUAUCUGAAGUGAUGCAACUGACUUCUCAAAUUUAUGAAGAAUUGCCCUUACAAACCAUUAUCAACCUUGGAGAAAAUAAGAGUGCAAUUACCUUGACAAGUGACGAGGAGUCUCACGAAAAAGGAUCUAAAGAUGUAGUUGAAAAGGAAAGUGAAAAGGAAGAAAUGAAACCGUAAUCUCAAAUAGCUCAAGUGAAUGAAUCCAGUGAAUAAUUCCCAAAUGUGGUGGCACCUUCUCCAUGUCCUAGCCAAUAUUCUUCUAACUCUUAUCUCUAAUUUCUGUUAGCGAAAUUGACUUUAUUAUACCAGAAGUUUUUAUGUCUCAUGGUAGAAAUAAGUUAGGAGUUGCUAUAGCCAAAUAUUUUGAACCGGUAAGGGGUCAUGAUGGAGGAGUGAGCGAAGAAUUAAAAUUAUUGCUUUCUUGUUUGGCACCAUCUACUAGUCAAUGGAACAAAGUAACUCGUGUGCUUAAAGAUCAGUCUAUUUACAAGGCUUAUCAGGAUUGCUUAGAGGAUGAAGCACUGAAAUGAGUUACAAGAUUUUAUCCUCCGCGAAUAAAAAUGGCAAUGUCUAGCCAAAGAAAUUAAAGAAAGGCACUUAUUGGGAGGCAACCCAAUUCAUUUUUAGUUCAUUUUUAUUAUUAGUUUCAUUAUGCUAAUCUUCGGUUUUUCAUAGUUGGUGUAUUUAAUUUUCAUUUUGAUGUUUCAAUGGUCAGGAGACUUCAAUUCAACAAAGCAUGCCCAUGCCUAAUUGACUGAAAAACUCAUGUUUUAAUUUCAGUAAUUUUGGAGGAUAACUAGGCAACAAGACGUGCUCACAUCUUGAGGGCAUGUUGUAACUCGCAAAUAACCCAACUUCACCAUUAGAAGACUACAAACCAAUAAGACGUGCCCACAUCUAGAGGGCACGUUGAACCUUGUGAAAAUUUUACUCCAUGAUUAGAAAACUACAGAGUAACAAGACAUGUCCGCUUCUUGUUCCACCAAGGGGGAACAAAAAAAAAAAACCGAAAUCCUAACUAUUCUCCUUCUUUUCUUUUCUUUCUUUCUCCCUCAUCUCUUUCUUUUUUUUUCAUUCUUUUUCUCUCCCCCUUGCAUUCUAGAUGACGAACUCCUUGCCUUUGCCGUUCGAAAAUUGUCACCGAGUUUGGACAUCAUCGCCACUGCUCGCAUUUUCCAGUUGUGGUUAGUGCUGCAACCAUUCCGUCGAUUGUACUCCUCCUUUUGCCCUCACCCAUAGCUGCCAUGCCCCCUCGUUGAUUAGGGAAGUUUCAUUGUCUCUUUUUCCUUUUCUAUUGUUCUUUAUUUCUUAUAUUGGGAAUAAUGUAAGAUUUAGGUGUGGGGGAGAGGGUAGUAUAUUGGAAAAAUGCAAGUGUAGGCACUUUUGCUGAAAUUUUUUGUUUGAUUUUUUCAAAAGUUAUCCAAUUUUUGCCACUUCUUGUGUUUUUUUUGUGGUUGUUCUUGAUAAGCAAUAACUAGUUGUCUCAAAUUGUACCAUUGCUAAGAUUUUAUGUGCUAAUGUGUUAAGUAUGACCCGGUAAGGUCUACGGGUGUUUCUCUGGUGAAUAUUUGAAAAUUUGUAACUUUUACACUUUUAGAUAACUUUUCUAUGCAUUGUAAAUAUUUGUCUUGCAUUUUUCAUGUGAAUUGAUUCAGUUAUUAAUCUUAGUUCUAGAUAUUUGGGAAAGGAAGCAUGAUUAUGAUCCUUAAUUUUAUUUCUAAUGCAUAUUUGAAUAAUGUUUGGUUAUACUUCGUUGGUAAUCACUACUUAGUAGCCAGGUGUCUUCACCAAAAGUGUCGACUUUUGCGUCAAAAAGUGAUGAUAGCUAUGAGGAUAUGGUUCUUAAGCAAUGAAGAACUGAGUAAUUGGACUCUUUCAUUUGGCAAAUGUUGGAGUUAACGUCAAAAGACUUGAAUGGCUAAGGACCAAGUUUUUUCCCUUGAAAAAAAAGAGCUCAAGCAUGGGGAUAUUUUAAGAAAAAAAGUUGUGAAAAGUGAAAAAUAUGCAAAUGUGUGAAUGAUUGUGUUAGUCUAAAGAGCUCAAGCAUGGGGAUAUUUUAAGAAAAAAAAGUUGUGAAAAAGUGAAAAAUAUGCAAAUGUGUGAAUGAUUGUGUUAGCCUGCUGAUCCAUGAGUUUUAAUGUUGAGAUUUUGCUUAAUAGUUGAACCAUUUACUGAUGAAUGUUGGUUGAAUAUUUAUAUCCUUAUAUUAGUUAGCCAGGUAUUGAAAGAGUUCUUGGUUUUAAAAGUUAACCGGAGAGAUAUCUCUUGGAGGCUAACCACUAGUACUUGACAUGUGGGUUUAAUUGUAUUUUGGCAAUGGGUGAUUUGGGGGAUAGUUGUUGUUUGAACUCAAUUGUUUGAUUGGUUUUUAUCAUGCUUGAGGACAAACAUGAUCUAGAUGUGGGAGGGAAUUGAUAGGGUGUAUUUUGUUGGUAUAUUUGUGAAUAUUUUCCCUUGAUUUAGCCAAAUAUUAUUUUAAUUGGUGGAUUCUACUUAUAUUUGGUUAAUUGUGCUAAUUGUAGGAAAAUAAGCAAAACGUGAUUAAAAGGGACAAUUUUCUAGCUAAUUUGGUGCUGGCAAGUUUGGGACCUACUUUCAAAUCUAGAAGACUCG